UGCAUGGAAGGCAAUUUUGGAACUCUAAUACAAGACAUGCCUUCUUUUGAAUGGGACGAACAAUAGUUCACAAAAUACACAAAAAAUUAACAUUUCAAAAUUUCACGCAUGCGCAUCUACACGUUUUCCUUAAUCGCUAAUUCGUAAUCGCUAAAAAGUUAAAAGUUGGGAACUUUCAAAAUAAAGAAUUACGAACCGUGGUUAAGAAUUAAGGAUUAAGACACUGUAUAACCAAACUAACUGCAUAGCACGUAUUUUAUCUUUUUAUAAUUUAGCAAAUAAGAAAUAAGAAUUAAGGAAUAGCAAUUAAGGAAUUGGGUAAAUCCGCCCUUAAUUGUUUAUUAUUAUUUUUGACUUUUUAGUUCGUUUAAUUUAAUAAUUACUAAAACCAGCACUUCGAAAAAUAUAUUUAAAAAUAAAAGCUAAAAAUCCAAAAAAUUAAUUAUCUAUUAACGUGGAUUCGGACGACAAUAGGUUUUUAGUUUGUGAUGUUUCAUAUGAUGAUCAUUUUCAUGUUCAUCGUCUUUGAAUUGACAUGAGGAUAUAUAUGGAAAAGUAACUAAUCUGAAAGUAAGCCAACAUAUCGUUUGUCCUUUGUGUGCUGAAGAAAAUAUUUUCUUUUCGCAUCAUGAAUGUUUCUGGUUUUGAGAAUAAAUUGGUUGAACCUAAAAUCUGGAGGAAGUACCUAUUUCCAUACACCGAAUAUGCCCAUUAAGAAUACUAGUCCAAAUUUGCUUUAAUGGAACGAUUAGGGCCCGAUAUAUUUGAAACUCAUGUUGGACAUAGUAUUGAGUUGGGUAGAAUAUUAUUCUACGUUAAGUGAGGGUAUCAGAUACCUAUUAUUGUACUGUAUUUUAAUAUAUACAUUAGAAUUGUUGUUUUUUU